ensembl:snRNA U6 U6 spliceosomal RNA
GUGCUAUCUUCAGCAGCAGAUACACUAAAAUUGAAAUGAUACAGAAAUUAGCAUGGCCCUUGCACAAGGAUGACAUGCCAAUUCAUGAAGUGUUCCAUAUUUGG